rnacentral:rRNA from 1 species
AUGAAGCUGGAGCUUGCUCUGGUGGAUUAGUGGCGAACGGGUGAGUAACACGUGAGUAACCUGCCCUUGACUCUGGAAUAAGCGUUGGAAACGACGUCUAAUACUGGAUACGAGCUUCAGCCGCAUGGCUAGGAGUUGGAAAGAAUUUCGGUCAAGGAUGGACUCGCGGCCUAUCAGGUAGUUGGUGAGGUAAUAGCUCACCAAGCCUACGACGGGUAGCCGGCCUGAGAGGGUGACCGGCCACACUGGAACUGAGACACGGUCCAGACUCCUACGGGAGGCAGCAGUGGGGAAUAUUGCACAAUGGGCGAAAGCCUGAUGCAGCAACGCCGCGUGAGGGACGACGGCCUUCGGGUUGUAAACCUCUUUUAGUAGGGAAGAAGCGAAAGUGACGGUACCUGCAGAAAAAGCACCGGCUAACUACGUGCCAGCAGCCGCGGUAAUACGUAGGGUGCAAGCGUUAUCCGGAAUUAUUGGGCGUAAAGAGCUCGUAGGCGGUUUGUCGCGUCUGCUGUGAAAACUGGAGGCUCAACCUCCAGCCUGCAGUGGGUACGGGCAGACUAGAGUGCGGUAGGGGAGAUUGGAAUUCCUGGUGUAGCGGUGGAAUGCGCAGAUAUCAGGAGGAACACCGAUGGCGAAGGCAGAUCUCUGGGCCGUAACUGACGCUGAGGAGCGAAAGCAUGGGGAGCGAACAGGAUUAGAUACCCUGGUAGUCCAUGCCGUAAACGUUGGGAACUAGAUGUAGGGACCAUUCCACGGUUUCUGUGUCGCAGCUAACGCAUUAAGUUCCCCGCCUGGGGAGUACGGCCGCAAGGCUAAAACUCAAAGGAAUUGACGGGGGCCCGCACAAGCGGCGGAGCAUGCGGAUUAAUUCGAUGCAACGCGAAGAACCUUACCAAGACUUGACAUAUACGAGAACGGGCUAGAAAUAGUUCACUCUUUGGACACUCGUAAACAGGUGGUGCAUGGUUGUCGUCAGCUCGUGUCGUGAGAUGUUGGGUUAAGUCCCGCAACGAGCGCAACCCUCGUUCUUUGUUGCCAGCACGUAAUGGUGGGAACUCAAAGGAGACUGCCGGGGUCAACUCGGAGGAAGGUGGGGAUGACGUCAAAUCAUCAUGCCCCUUAUGUCUUGGGCU